rnacentral:rRNA from 1 species
UACGUGGGGGGCAAGCGUUGUUCGGAAUUACUGGGCGUAAAGGGCUCGUAGGCGGCCAACUAAGUCCGACGUGAAAUCCCCAGGCUUAACCUGGGAACUGCGUCGGAUACUGGAUGGCUUGAAUUCGGGAGAGGGAUGCAGAAUUCCAGGUGUAGCGGUGAAAUGCGUAGAUAUCUGGAGGAAUACCGGUGGCGAAGGCGGCAUCCUGGACCGACAUUGACGCUGAUGAGCGAAAGCUAGGGGAGCAAACGGG